rnacentral:lncRNA from 1 species
AAAAAUUAAAGUUCUAUUUAUAAUUAUGAGACUAUGUUCAAAGCAGAAAAUAAUCUGUUGUAUAUAGAAACACAAACAUGUUUUUUAAAACUGAUUUCUAGUGAAAAUGAUUUGAGAUCAUCUUUAGAGGGCAGCAUCUAACUAGGGAAAGAGGUAUUUCAGGCUAAUAUGUUUGAGCCAUUGCAAUGGUUAUAUCUGGUUGUUGGAAGUUGAUAGCCUAUUAAAACAUCACCGAUUUCAUAAUUCCAAUAUCAGAAGACACUAAAUAACAGCAUCUGACAUUAGUCUCCAUGAAUAAUCCAGUUGAACGUGCACCUCAUUAAAUGUCACCUGUUCUUAAAGGCAUGUGUAUUUUUACAGUAGAUAUUACAGUAUCUCAGAACACAUUUAUUUUUACUCAAAGCAUGGUAAUACAUAGCAAUAGCAAUCUAGGCUUUAACCAAUAUGUAUUAUAAAAAUAAGAGUGGGAGAAUGAAUUUCCAAUAUAUUUUUUAAUCGUAUCAUAGCACAAUUUUUUUUAAUGCUGCAAAGGAAGAAGUAAAAUAAAUGAGGCUAUAUAUUCUUGUAAUCAAAUGAGACUAGGACUUUAAAACAUGGGUCUAAAGAGUAUUUUAUUCCAUAUCCUUUGCCUUAAAAUUAGAAAACAUAAAUGUUAGUUAAAAAUUACUGUGAAAU